rnacentral:tRNA from 1 species
GCCUCUAUGGCUCAGUGGUAGAGCAUCUCACUUGUAAUGAGAAGGUCCGUCGUUCGAACCGGCGUGGAGGCU